rnacentral:misc_RNA from 1 species
CUUCGAAGUAGUUGCAUGUUUGGAAUCAGCUGAAAUGAAAAUAAGCUAGACAUGUAUCUACUUAUUGAAUUUCUGAUAAACUUUUGUUUUCUUUUUAAACUUGUUUUUAGCGAGAUGUACUGGAUCCACCAGAGGAUUGUUUCCGCAUCAGAAUGGUUAUCAUUCUUCUGGAGACCUGUGGACACUACUUCGACCGAGGUUCUUCUAAGAGGAAA